rnacentral:rRNA from 1 species
GUCUAUGGCCAUGCCACCCUGAAUGUGUCCAUUCUCGUCUGAUCUUGGAAGCUGAGCAGGGUCGGGCCUGGUUAGUAAUUGGAUGGGAGACCACCUAGAAAGACCAGGUGCUGUAGGUG